rnacentral:rRNA from 1 species
GCUAACGCGGUGGCACAUAGAGUGGUAAUCCAGUAGGUGAGAGCUUUAUGGAGAAUUGCUGAUAGUAAAGUGUGCGUAGGUGUGACGUUAAAGUGGAUGUGAAAGCCCCGGGCUCAUCCUAGGAACGGCAUUCAAAACAGUCGGGCUAGAGUAUGGUAGAGGGUGGUAUAAUUUCCUGUGUAGCGGUGAAAUGCGUAGAUAUAGGAAGGAUCACCAGUGGCGAAGGCGACCACCUGGACUGAUACUGACACUGAGGUGCGAAAGCGUGGGGAGCAAACAGGAUUAGAUACCCCAGUAGUC